AGACCUAAAUUUAGGCCUCACUGACUCCUACCUUGGGCAUGUAAGCACCAGUUGGAUCAGAUACACCAGGGAAACUGAGGCCCAGAAAGGGAUGUGAUCUGCCCGAUUGUGCAGAAUUCAGAGCCCAGCUGGAACCUGAAUGUCCUGACCCCCCAUCCAGUGCCCCCCUUCCUACUCUAUGCUGCCUCUCGGGUGACACACACAGCAGCAAGUGAGCCCUGCAGACAGAGACAUUCUAGAACCCAGGCCUGGGACCAGUGCUCAGGAGCCAUACUCUCAGCUAGAUUGCCUUCAGCCUGCCAGGAGGAGGAGCAGCCCAGUCCAGACUGAAAGCCUCCAAGGAGGAAGUUCUACCGGCUUCUCCAUGCCUCCAAACCCACUGUACCUUGUGCAUUCCAUCUGGAAUUUUCUUCUGUUGAAAGGAAGGUGCUGGGUGGGAGGAGGAGGGAGAGGAUCAGGAAAAAUAACUAAUAAAUACUAGGCUUAAUAUCUGA
ensembl:lncRNA LINC01974 long intergenic non-protein coding RNA 1974